rnacentral:lncRNA from 1 species
AAAUAGAUAAGUAAACCACAUUCACGAUUCAUGAAAUCAUAACUGGAGGUAAUCAAGUCAUAUAAAACAUAUGAUCAUGGCUUUGAAUUCCCCUCUAACUAUAAAGAAAUUAGUUCCUCAUGUUCGCAAAUAAACAAAGAUAAAUAAAUUUAAACAUUGACAUAAAGAUAGAAAACACCUAGAAUCGCUCCAACAAUCCAAGCUCGUUGAAUGGCAUGCACGGCUCCAGAUUCCUUCCUUCUUCUCCUUGCAAACUCACGGCACAAUGAGGGGUUUUGGGUGAAUGAUGUAGUGAAAAUAUGGUAGAGGGUGGUGACUGAAAGGGUGCGGCAUAGGCUUGUAUUUAUAGGCUGAAAAAUCUCAUCUCCUAGGUAGCCAAGGACAAGGUUUUAAAAGGCCUAAACUGCAUAGGAUAAUAACAUACAAUCAUAUAAGGAAAACAAGUCAAAAACCCAAAAGGAAUGGGAGAUAGUGUGCGGCACAAAGAGUGUGAAAGGAUAAGGCUUCUAGAAACCAAAAUCCCAAAGGAAAUGGGUGAAAACUCACGGCAAAAGGAUAGUUUCUAGAAAGAAAUACAAGGCAGAUUUUUAGGCUUCUAGAAAGGCUCCUAGGCGCCAUUUUUUGUAGGAUAAGAUUAGGUCUUCUAGAAAUCCCAUUUUAAGCAUCCUAAUCUAGUUAGAAACCCUCCUAAGUGGCUGAGAUGUGGAUAGUUUAGGAUUAGGAUAAGAUAGGAUAGAAUAAGGUUUGUUGGGAUAAGAUAAGCUAAGAUAAGGUUAUGGAUGAGGUUUUGGAUAAGAUCCUUAUCUUGAGCUGAUUCUUUGGCUUUAACUCUUCUUCUUCAUAUAGGAAAACCUUGCUUGAGUAGGAAACUUCAUUCGUCUAGGAAUCCAUCUUCAUUUAGGACUCCUACAUUGAUUAAGAAUCCUACUUCAUUUAGGAAUCCUUCACUUAAGCCCUUUCCUACUUCAACUAGGAAACUUUGUAUCUUCAAUUUUUCAACUUCAAACACACAUUCCUAGCUUCAUCAAUCCUUCAAAUUCGUCCAUCCUUUGUGCUUCAUGUGCAUGAACUUCAUUCUAGCCCAAUUUUGCUCCAAAAUGCUCCAAAUUGCAUCAUUUUGCUCACUUUGUCUCUAAAACCUGAAAACACAUGAAAAUAGCUUAAAAGACUAACUUAACUAAGAAAACACAACAUAAAUGCAUAAGAACUAACUAACUAAGGCGCAUAAAUAUGCUCCUAUCACUUUUCAAUUAUUUUAUCAUGCAUCUGUAAACCAAAGGUCCGAUUAAUGCAAAAGAGAAAUAGAAUUGCCAGAAACACAACGACAUAGUCGGGUCUAAAUCUUUUAGACACAGUUAGGUUGAUUUAUGAAAAGUUUAGGACAAAGAUAAGUCUUCGUUCUUCAAAGAUCAGAAAAAGUGACAAUGUAGUAAGGGUGUCAGAGUUUCCCAGGAUGAAGCAAAAAAGAGGAAUACAUUGAGCAUUUACACACUAAGUUAGGCCAAGAGUGAAAACCAACCAGCAAAGAUUAUGGUAAUUCACUAAUUUAGACAUUAACCAGCUUUGAGAGUGAUACUCACCCAUUGUCGGUUUUCCUUGCGAGCAUAUUUCCUACCCAAAAUUUCCCAAACUGUUCUCAAACCAUUGCAUCGGCAUAUCUUUCCAACUUCUAAUAGUCUUUGGUGCUAGAACAUCUUCUAACUUCAUUCUAAAAAAAUAGAUUUAUAAGUAAA